rnacentral:rRNA from 1 species
GACGAACCGUGCGAACGUUGUUCGGAAUCACUGGGCUUAAAGGGCGCGUAGGCGGGCGGCCAAGUCAGGGGUGAAAUCUUUCAGCCCAACUGGAAAACGGCUUCUGAUACUGGCCGUCUUGAGGGGGGUAGGGGCAUGUGGAACUUCCGGUGGAGCGGUGAAAUGCGUAGAUAUCGGAAGGAACGCCGGUGGCGAAAGCGGCUCUCUGGGCCGAUACUGACGCUGAGGAGCGAAAGCGUGGGGAGCGAACAGG